rnacentral:rRNA from 1 species
CUACGGGUGGCAGCAGUGGGGAAUAUUGCACAAUGGGCGCAAGCCUGAUGCAGCCAUGCCGCGUGUAUGAAGAAGGCCUUCGGGUUGUAAAGUACUUUCAGCGGGGAGGAAGGGAGUAAAGUUAAUACCUUUGCUCAUUGACGUUACCCGCAGAAGAAGCACCGGCUAAGUCCGUGCCAGCAGCCGCGGUAAUACGGAGGGUGCAAGCGUUAAUCGGAAUUACUGGGCGUAAAGCGCACGCAGGCGGUUUGUUAAGUCAGAUGUGAAAUCCCCGGGCUCAACCUGGGAACGGCAUCUGAUACUGGCAAGCUUGAGUCUCGUAGAGGGGGGUAGAAUUCCAGGUGUAGCGGUGAAAUGCGUAGAGAUCUGGAGGAAUACCGGUGGCGAAGGCGGCCCCCUGGACGAAGACUGACGCUCAGGUGCGAAAGCGUGGGGAGCAAACAGGAUUAGAUACCCGCGUAGUC